rnacentral:tRNA from 2 species
CAGAUAUGGUUCAUCGGUAGAACGUUGGCUUCCCAAGCCGAAGAGGGGGGUUCGACUCCCCUUAUCUG